GUUUGGAAUUAGCAUCAUUUUUUGUCCCUUUUUUCUAUCGUUAGCCAAUCUUUUUGCGGUUUCUGUAACUCAACUAAGUUAAAUUUUAUUUAUUGUAUUUCUGGAUAGGCUUGGGCCAUAGCAAUAUCUAAUAGAGCAAAAAUGUGCGUCUGUAUAAAGGAAGUUGAAGAGCUAUGGAAGCAGGUCUAUAUUGAGAUGCAUUUCUUUGGCGCAAUACUAGACAACAUUGACAGUUGAAGUUUUUAGAAUAAAAAAUAUAUUUCACUAACAUUGGAUACAUUUCUUGUUUAUUAUUUGGUGAUGAUAAAAUUUGAUUGUAGUAUAAACUAUCAUGUAAUAUGAUUUUGUAAGCCGAGUAGACUAAAUACUGAAAUUAUAUUUUUGAGUAAUUAAUAAAAAAUUAUUUUGUUGUA